rnacentral:misc_RNA from 1 species
CCCAAACCCACCUGCACCCGG